rnacentral:rRNA from 1 species
GACGAACGAGGGAGGCGUGCUUAACACAUGCAAGUCGAACGAAGAGCGAUGGAAGCUUGCUUCUAUCAAUCUUAGUGGCGAACGGGUGAGUAACGCGUAAUCAACCUGCCCUUCAGAGGGGGACAACAGUUGGAAACGACUGCUAAUACCGCAUACGAUCUAAUCUCGGCAUCGAGGAUAGAUGAAAGGUGGCCUCUACAUGUAAGCUAUCACUGAAGGAGGGGAUUGCGUCUGAUUAGCUAGUUGGAGGGGUAACGGCCCACCAAGGCGAUGAUCAGUAGCCGGUCUGAGAGGAUGAACGGCCACAUUGGGACUGAGACACGGCCCAGACUCCUACGGGAGGCAGCAGUGGGGAAUCUUCCGCAAUGGACGAAAGUCUGACGGAGCAACGCCGCGUGAGUGAUGACGGCCUUCGGGUUGUAAAGCUCUGUUAAUCGGGACGAAAGGCCUUCUUGCGAAUAGUGAGAAGGAUUGACGGUACCGGAAUAGAAAGCCACGGCUAACUACGUG